AAGUGAGACAGGUGGUGCAUGGUUGUCGUCAGCUCGUGUCGUGAGAUGUUGGGUUAAGUCCCGCAACGAGCGCAACCCUUAUUUUCAGUUACUAACGCGUAAAGGCGAGGACUCUGAAGAGACUGCCGGGGACAACUCGGAGGAAGGUGGGGACGACGUCAAAUCAUCAUGCCCCUUAUGACCUGGGCUACACACGUGCUACAAUGGCCACUACAAAGAGGAGCGAGCCCGUAAGGGGGAGCGGAUCUGAGAAAAGUGGUCCCAGUUCAGAUCGUGGGCUGCAACCCGCCCACGUGAAGUCGGAGUUGCUAGUAAUCGCGGAUCAGCAUGCCGCGGUGAAUACGUUCCCGGGCCUUGUACACACCGCCCGUCACACCAUGGGAGUUGGGAGCACCCAAAGCCGGCGAGGUAACCGCAAGGAGCCAGCCGUCCAAGGUGAGACCAAUGACUGGGGUG
rnacentral:rRNA from 1 species